AGGCCGGUACUCGCGAAUGAACUCUAGGCUUAAGUUGAUCAUGGCUCAGAACCAACGCUGUAGGCGUGCCUCAGACAUGCAAGUCGAACGAGAAAGUUUCCUUCGGGAGACGAGUAAAGUGGCGCACGGGUGAGUAACACGUAGGUAAUCUACCUUCGGGUGGGGAAUAACCCAGAGAAACUUGGGCUAACACCGCAUAAUGCAGCGGCACCACAUGGUGACAGUUGUUAAAGCGGGGGAUUUUCGGACCUCGCGCCUGAAGAGGAGCCUGCGGCGGAUUAGCUAGUCUGGUGAGGUAACGGCAUCACCAAGGUGACGAUCCGUAGCCGGCCUGAGAGGGCGGUCGGCCACACUGACACUGACAUACAGGGUCAAGACUCCUACGGGAGGCAGACANGUACNGGAAUUAUGGGCAAUGGGCGAAAGCCUGACCCAGCAACGCCAGACGUGAAGGAUGAAAUCCUUCGGGAUGUCAACUUCAGCAAGAAUAGGGAAAGAAUUAGCGAGCGCUAAUACCGCUACGUGAUGACGGUACCAUUU
rnacentral:rRNA from 1 species